UUAGUGGCAGAGGGUGAGUAUGCGUAGGAAUCUACCUAGUAGUACGGAAUAGCCAUUAGAAAUGGUGGGAAAACUGUAUAAUCCCCGAGGGGGAAAGAUUUAUCGCUAUAAGAUGAGCCUACGUUAGAUUAGCUAGUUGGUGAGGUAAUGGCUUACCAAGGCUAUGAUCUAUAGCUGGUCUGAGAGGACGAUCAGCCACACUGGAACUGAGAUACGGUCCAGACUCCUACGGGAGGCAGCAGUGGGGAAUAUUGGACAAUGGGCGAAAGCCUGAUCCAGCUAUGCCGCGUGAGUGAAGAAGGCCUUCGGGUUGUAAAACUCUUUCAAUAGGGAAGAUAAUGACGGUACCUAUAAACCGCCGUCGC
rnacentral:rRNA from 1 species